GUCAAAAACAGACAAAAUCCUCUUGCUGGGGACUGAGGUAGCUUAUUGCCCACUGGCAACUGUGGAUGGCUUUCUGCCAGUUAGGCCUGGCUCCGAGUGCUGCAGUGUCAACACUGAAGAGUGAGGGCCAGAGGGGUGAUGAUGUUCUUGGCUGGAAAACUCAAAGGCUAAUAGAACAAGGACUUUUUUUCUGAGCCUGCCAGGUAUGUUACAUGAGGGGUGAAGAG